ACGAACGCUGGCGGCAUGCCUUACACAUGCAAGUCGAACGGUAGAGGGGCAACCCUUGAGAGUGGCGAACGGGUGAGUAAUGCAUCGGAACGUGCCCAGUCGUGGGGGAUAACGCAGCGAAAGCUGUGCUAAUACCGCAUGUGAUCUGUGGAUGAAAGCAGGGGACCGCAAGGCCUUGUGCGAUUGGAGCGGCCGAUGUCAGAUUAGCUAGUUGGUAGGGUAAAAGCCUA
rnacentral:rRNA from 1 species